AUAUAUACUUAAUUUUAAAAGAUUUGUUUUAAUAAAUAUAAUGAUAUCCGUGCGUAGCACGGAAGAGAAUACUAAUAAUAAUAAAGCGCACGAGAAAAAGGAAGGUAUUUUCGCGGUUGUGCCGACUAUGUCGCGGUUGAGUCACCUGAGAUCUGUCACUGCGCUGGCAUCACACCGAGGGAGAGGGCUUCUCUCUCGCCGCAAUUUCUCUACAUCCGGUAAAAUGUAGAGACGAAAGUAUUGGUGGAGGUCAGGAAUAUGAAGAAACAGAUGCUUCUUCUCUGGGGAUAUUUAUCCUGUGGAAGUAUGGGCUACCUUGCUUGGGAGUCUAUUCAAUUACACAAUGCUCUCGAACAGGCGAGACAGGUGAAGAAGAAGAAGAAGCAGGAUCUGAAGAAUUAAAAUAAGAUAUGUUUGUGUGUUUGAUCUGAAGAAUUUCAAAAUAAGAAAUGUGUGUGUACCUUUUUAUUUCUCUCCAAUACAAUCAAUUUGCCUUUGCUUUUGUUCGAAUGUGUGAUUUCUGAUUAUUAUUGAUGCUUCGGCUUAUGGUUAACAA